GACGAACGCUGGCGGCGUGCUUAACACAUGCAAGUCGAACGGAAAGGCCCUGCUUUUGUGGGGUGCUCGAGUGGCGAACGGGUGAGUAACACGUGAGUAACCUGCUCUUGACUUUGGGAUAACUUCAGGAAACUGGGGCUAAUACCGGAUAGGAGCUCCCGCUGCAUGGUGGGGGUUGGAAAGUUUCGGCGGUUGGGGAUGGACUCGCGGCUUAUCAGCUUGCUGGUGGGGUAGUGGCUUACCAAGGCUUUGACGGGUAGCCGGCCUGAGAGGGUGACCGGCCACAUUGGGACUGAGGUACGGCCCAGACUCCUACGGGAGGCAGCAGUGGGGAGUAUUGCACAAUGGGCGGAAGCCUGAUGCAGCAACGCCGCGUGCGGGAUGACGGCCUUCGGGUUGUGAACCGCUUUCGCCUGUGACGAAGCGUGAGUGACGGUAAUGGGUAAAGAAGCACCGGCUAACUACGUG
rnacentral:rRNA from 1 species